GUAACACACAUGCACAGGACUAGUCAGGUCAGGCCACACCUUCUCUUUCAAUGGUUUGUCUGGAGACUAAGAGUUAGUCCAGUUACCAGCCUCACAAAGCUCAGGUUAGAACCCACAGAAAGGCCUCUCAGAACCCAAUCAGGCCCACAAGGUCCAAUGGCUGCUAAGAAGAGACCUGCUUGGGCCCAGGAGCUCAUGGAACUACAUUAAACAUCUUUGGUUCCACCCACCAUGUAAACUGCAGUGCAGGGGAGCAGAUGGUUUCUACAUGUGGAGGUGUGACGGUGUGCGGGGGCUUUGCUGGAGACACUGUUGGUGAUUUAAGGCCUACUUAAGGAGCGUCAUGCCACCUGGUUUGAGCUUAGCGGACCAGGACAAAGACCCCAACACACCUCCAGGCUCUGUGAGGGCUACCAAGAAGGAGUGGCCUCCACCAUCACCCCCCUAAACCCACUUGAGGGGGUCUGGGAGGAGUUGAACUGCAGAGUGAAGGCAAAGCAGCCAACAAGUGGAGCUGCUUGAAGACUCCUGGAGAACCUUCCAGGUGACUCCCUCGUGGAGCUGCUUGAAGACUCCUGGAGAACCUUCCAGGUGUCUCCCUCGUGGAGCUGCUUGAAGACUCCUGGAGAACCUUCCAGGUGACUCCCUCGUGGAGCUGCUUGAAGACUCCUGGAGAACCUUCCAG
ensembl:lncRNA